rnacentral:lncRNA from 1 species
ACAGAAUUUUGGAAUGACCAGCCGUCCGGAGAACCUUUCUUUCUCAUGUUUAAAGCAUUUCUGGCUUUAAACUCUAGAAAGGGAGGUUCUCCAGCAAGCUUGUCAUUCCAAAAUUCUGUUUGUCCAAUAAAAAGAAUGUAUUACAAGAUACUAAUUGAAUCUGUUAUUUUACAUCUGAAUCACUGUCCUAAUGUAAUAGAGGUACAAUCUAUACUCUAAUAUAUACAGUAUAUAGUAACUCUAACUCUAGUAAAUAUAUAUUUUUAUAUACAUAUAUAAGAGUAUAUAUAUAUAUAUUUAUACUCUUAUAUAUGUAUAGUAGAGGCGCUGCCAUCCUGAUAUAUGCUAAUUAUUCUGCUUUCUUAAAUCCCACUUUUGCAUGUAUUUAUGUAUUAUAACACUGAUGUUCUAAAAUCUAAUUCUUCCGUGCUGAAUUAACAGCUCUAUCGAAUUAUCAGUCUUAGACUGACAUAGAAAAAAAUAUCCCCAUCCUUCCCCAUAUUUUUCAAUUAUUAACUUCAGUUAACUGAUUGAAGAAUACAAAAAAAAAUGCCAAAAGUUUGAAUAUAUAGACACUAGAGAAAGGGGAAUAGUAGUCUUGGCACUGCAGAUAUUUGUUAACUCAAUUUCCCAUAAUAGCCUGCCUUGAAACUGGUAGAGCAUCAUGGGAAAUGUAGUCCACACACAUCUGCUGUACCUAGAAUAGCAAUCCCUAGAGAGAAAGAAUGGGAAAAGGUACAGCACAAUACAUAAAUUGAACUGCCCAAAAAUGAAGUAUGUGGUUCUGGGCCUGUCUUGAGAAGUGAGAUGCUCUGUGCAUUUCAUCUUAGGUCCAUUACCCAACUGACAAUGGGCAGCUUCACAGUGGAACUUGAAAACAAAGUACAAUGUGUAUGUCUCCAGUGCUGUCCAUUUAUUUAUUUCAUCAUGUGACAAGACCAAAAUAUCCUGAUGACUCUUGUUUUUUUAAAAUAUUUCUUCAUUGAUUUUGCUGUCUUCUUGUAGACUUUUACUACUCAUCUUCUUCAGUCCAUCACUGUUUUGGUAAUGUUUUUCUGAAUUAACUUAUUUUAUUACCUGUGAGCACCUCUUAAGUUCUCUUUUCUGUUGUGUUUUAUGCAAGCUCUUAUUGUAAAGUUAGGAAUCCCUGUUGUAGCUAUUACUAAAUAAUUAUGCACUACUACUAAACUUUUGUUCUUUGUUUUUUGAGUCUUAAAGGUAACAAAAAAAAAAGAAUGUAUUUUUCUACAUUAUGGCUUGAUGCUUAGUAAAAGUUAUUUCAUAAAACAACGUCUUGUUAUGUCUAGCGUUCACAAACUAUUAAAGAACAAAUGUAGUUUUAACUAAUGCUAAUCCAGCAAAACAAAUUUAUAUAGCUUCAUGUUGUAUGUUAUAAACCGACACCAUGCUAUUGUCUGAUAAAAAAAAAAAUGUAUAGAAUCCCAUGUAUAUACUUCUUUUUAACCUUCUUCGACCUUCAUUUAUUUUGAGAGAAAACUCCAUCCGAGUCUAUAGCCAGAGCAGGAGUUGUGAGAGAAGAGUUGAGAAAAUAUGGCAGUUUCCUUUGCUAGACAGAUCAGAAUGUGAAUGUGGGUGAUAAGUUGGUUACCAUGCUGUCCCUAUAAUCCAAGAUGCCUUCUGCACUGCACUGUUUCCUGUAAGCAUUUUUCUGUUAGCAGUCCAGCAAUGAAACAGUUAACGAAGCGAACCGUUUAGUACAGUCAAAACACUUGAUGCCCUGGAAACUACCCUGGAUCUCUGAAAUAUCCCCUCAUUAACCUUUCUGGCGCUGGACUGCCAGCACAAGAUGCUUAGAGGGAACAUCGCUGCAGGGAUACGACUGCAUUAUAAUUUGAUGAAGCAUCCUCUUUAGAAUGCAAAUGAUGUGGUCACCUAGCAGUGAUUAAUCAUGGAUUCUAGUCUUGACACUUGAUAUUCCCUCAUGGGUUAAACAUUCCACUGCCUUCUGAACCCAUUGCGAUCAGUAGUUGCCCAUAGGCAAUCGGUCUGUGCUCGAAUCCUAUGAGUUAAAAGAUCAGUCCACCUUUAAUUUUGCAUUCCCCUCAGGCAUUGUGACGUAGGAUGCAGUUUGCAGCUUAAUGUGCCUUCCCUUGCCUUUUAAAUCGCCACCAACCACAGAUGGCUGUUUUAGUGGCCCUGCAAUGCUGCAACCCAUCAGCUUGUAUUUAAAUUUCCAUAUAUUAUGUAUUCGCUAAUAGUUGGCAGGAAUAUUGUAUUAUGUGUUAGGUGUAGUGUGUUAAAAUGUUUUUUUUUUUUUUUUAAAUCCCCCCUUGAGGGUACAGAUGAAUCAGCAAUUCCUGGCUCAUUCUCGUGGCACUCAGGGGGUUAACCUUCUGUAGAUGAGUCUAGUGAUUAGAUAAGCCUUUAUUUUAAGUAAUCAAGUAGCUAAUCUCUUUUUGUACAAUUGACAAAAGCGCCAACAGCCUUACUAAAUUAAGCAGAUUUGAUAUACAUUGAUCUGCAUACAUGUAAGAAUCUAUUUUGUGUGCAACAUAUAUUUAAAUUAACUAGAAUAUAUAUAUAUAUAUAUAAAUACACACCUAUAUAUAACUAGGAGAUUGAUAAAUGUUAUAUAAAGUGUGCAAAGUUUGUAUAAUAAUAAAUUUUUGUAAACAAUGCAAUUUCGUCUAAUGUUUGAAAAGAAAAAAAACAAAACAGAUCAACACUUUGAUUAUCGUGCGUUAAAGUAAAGCUUUAGUUAGAUUCUUUUUUUUUAAUUGUUAAUUGGAAAUAUAUAUUUUGCUUUGGAAUCUUAAAAAUAGCCUAUCUGUUUACAAGUACACCAAAUCACUGGCAUAUUUUGUAAUUGUUAAUACCACUUAAAUGUUUCAUUUGUUAUUGUAAAUAUUAGAAAGUUAUACAAAGUAGCUAUGUUUUAAAUUCAUUAUGCCAAAUCAGUUAUUAAAUAUGCAGUUGCUUACACUGAUUUUGAACUUUCUCCAAGUGAUCAAGAACGUAUUCAUAGCUUAAUUCCUUUCAUUAACCAUUUCAGAGACAAGGGGGCGGGGGACAGACAAAAAGUCCAAAUAUUUUGUUAUUAU